CACACACACACACACACACACACACACACACACACUGUAUGUCUGCAGCCACAUGACUAUGUUUUAUGCACAAUGGGGCACUCCCUGCAUUUUCUAAUUCUUGGCAGGGGGAUGAACCACUAUGUGUUGGUGUAGCCAUGUGCUCAGACAUACAUCCAGACACGGUUCCUUUACCCCACCACUCACACACCAUCUAUAUUCUAUGUCCCUGGAUCACAGACGGUGUGCAGCUGUUGGUCUGGAACUCGCCGAUGGACGUCGAGCUGACUCAACGUGGCGGUGAGAGGACGGAGGAGCGCGUCGAGACUCUGCUGCUCGCUGCUCUGCGGGACAAAGCUGCAGAAGAUCCUGAAAGGGAAACAUUUCAAAGCUGAAGCUCAACAACACUGUCAGUCCAAGGAGGUGGAGUAGAAGCCACCUCAUGAGACCAGGAAAGCUCAUCAAG